AGUGAACGCUGGCGGUAGGCCUAACACAUGCAAGUCGAACGGCAGCACAGUAAGAGCUUGCUCUUACGGGUGGCGAGUGGCGGACGGGUGAGGAAUACAUCGGAAUCUACUUUUUCGUGGGGGAUAACGUAGGGAAACUUACGCUAAUACCGCAUACGACCUACGGGUGAAAGCAGGGGAUCUUCGGACCUUGCGCGAGUGAAUGAGCCGAUGUCGGAUUAGCUAGUUGGCGGGGUAAAGGCCCACCAAGGCGACGAUCCGUAGCUGGUCUGAGAGGAUGAUCAGCCACACUGGAACUGAGACACGGUCCAGACUCCUACGGGAGGCAGCAGUGGGGAAUAUUGGACAAUGGGCGCAAGCCUGAUCCAGCCAUACCGCGUGGGUGAAGAAGGCCUUCGGGUUGUAAAGCCCUUUUGUUGGGAAAGAAAUCCAGCCGGCUAAUACCUGGUUGGGAUGACGGUACCCAAAGAAUAAGCACCGGCUAACUUCGUG
rnacentral:rRNA from 1 species